rnacentral:lncRNA from 1 species
UUUUUUUUUUUUGCUCCAGUCAAGGGAGAAGCAGUGAUGUUUUAGUAUCCAGAAAGUGGAAAUAACCCAAAUGCCCAUCAACAGCAGAAUGAAAUUGUACUAUAUUCACACCAUGGAAUAUUGUAUAGCAAAGAGAAUGAAUGAACUAUUAACAGAAAAGACAUGGACAAAUCUCAUAAACAUGAUGCUGAAAGAAACCACAGUCAAAAAAAUGCUUCCCAACCUUUUGCAGACCAUGGCAUACGCAGAAAAUGACAACAUCGGAAUGGCACACUGGCAUACCAGUUGGGGAUCCUUGCAGUCAAUGCUGACUGGACUCAUCCUUCAGCCGCCCCCAAGAAGAGAGAGAUCAAUACCUUGGCACAUCUGUGGGAAAGCUCCCAUUAGAGAGUGUGGGGAAGACACAGGCCUCCACAACACAUUUCAGGUUCUCUAAACUGGCAAAGGGGAAGAGUCUGGGCUUCCUUUGCCCUUUUGUUCUCAAAGAGCCCAGCUGUGCACACCCCUCACCCCUGCACUAUAGCUCCCAUUUGGGUAGUGAAAAAUCACAGGACUCAGGGGAGUUAUGCAGCAUUCGGGAAUGGAGACCUGGAAAGCCACACACUCCUCCUUGCUUUCCUGUGAGCCUCUCUUCUUGCUGUCCCCUUUACAACCAACAGUCCCUGCAGGGGGAAGACACUCUGCUUUAGUCAGUUCCACCUCCCUUCCAGAUCUCAUCCUCCUUUCAGCCUAAUUUUCCUCACACUGUCAUGCUCCUUCCCACUGCUCGCCCCCCACCCCCUACUCUCCUCCAGCACAUCACACAUUGCGCCUGGGCACACUGAGCUUGUCUGCCAUCUAUGAAGAGGCCCAUGUCACCCAAGCCCUUCUCUUUCCCUGUCAUGCCAUAGCCUCUUCCAGGAGCGCUCAGCCUGCUGUUUCUGCUCAGACCUCCCCUCCUCUGCAAAGCCUCCUUCUGCGUGCUGCCCGAGAGCCAUCCCCCACUUGGGUUUGUGUUACUGCUGUGUAUGGCAGCAUCUUCACUGUGCCUGAUUUCCCGUCUUGGCCCAUCGUAGGUGCUCAACAAUUGUUUCUCAAAUGACCAGCGCCUGCAGAGGGACCCUGACAUGAACUCCACCCCACCCCGACUCUUGGCAGUUACUCACUGUCCCCUUGAGUCGGGAUCCCAGCCCCUCAGGGGACCUGUCUUGCAGCCAUUCCACGCUCUGUCACCCCACUGCCAGGAGACUAGAGCCACACUGCCUGGAUGACGCUCAUCUUUACCAGCUCGCAGCUCUGCCAGCUGCCUGCUCAGGGGUGGCCGCCAGCUGAGGGAUUGAGCUGAUUAUAGGUGAAUCAGCACCAGGCUGAUUGUGGUGUGAAAAAGGGGAAGGGUGACUGUGUCUUAGCCUCAAUCCUGGCUCCCCUCCUUCCAGCCCUGACCUGCAGUAACAGCACAGGGCCACCAGAGGCUCUAUUGGGCGACUCAUGCCCCGCGGAGAAAGGCCCAGUAGGAGAGCAUCUGACCCAGUUCCCAGCAGAUGAGAAAGGAAGAAGAGUUCAGGAGGCUUCUACUCUCAGAGGUCUCCAGCACUGAAACCCCGCAGCCGCACCUGGCUGCCUUAUCCUUGUGUUUUGCCCCUCAUGGGUCUAGAAGCUGUUGUGUUACACCUUAACAUCUUCCUCCUUGCUUGCCAUGAGCCCCUCUGCUUGCAGCCCCCUUUACAGAACAACAGUCAUGGUAGAGGGAAGAUGUCUCCACUUUUGUCAGUUCUGCCUCCUUUAGGAGAGUGUCAGGCCUAACCCAUGUGUGCUCUGUCUUUCAGGGCAUGGAAAAGACUAUUGUCCUGUUUCGUCUUUUCAACACCUCUUGACUCUCUCCCCCUGGUUUCCUAACAGCCAGCUAGGUUCAGGGCCUCCCAUCUCUGGCCAGGAUUAGUGCAAUGGCUUUCUGAAGGGUCCCAGGCUCCAGGGAGCCCCUUGCCCAUCAAGUCUCUACCCUGGAGCCAGACAGCCCUUACUUCCAUCAGACAUCAGCCUCCAGUGGCUCCGAAAGGCCAGGCAUCCACACAGCACCCCACGGCCCCAAGAACUGGCUGCUUGAUUUUCCUGCCCUGUGUCCCUCCUCUCCUUGGCCCUCUACCCAGCAAUCACCCCAAAACACUGUGAUGUUUCAAGCCUUUGUACUUUGCACACAUUCUUCUCCAUGGCCUAAUUCCCUCUCUCCACCCCUCACUCCACACCUCCUCCACCUUUACCCUUUCUCCCCAUUCUUUCUUCACCGGGCACAGCCCUACUUAUCCUUCAAAACUGCCACUUCCUCUGCGAAGCCUUUCCUGACCCGUGUCCCAGAAUCCCUCCUCUGAACAAAUCCUGUUCCCUAAACAUGCAUCUCUCAUUGUAUCUGUCACUCAAGGGUUGCAAUAAUUACACACACGCCUGUCCUUUGUCCUCCACUGGCUCUGUACCUCCAUGUGGGACCCAUGGCCAGCACACAUUGGUGGUGCCCGAAAGCUGUUGCACUGGAGUUGUUCCUUCUGCCCCAUCACCUCCCACCUUGAACAAGUCCUUUAGAUGACCUGAACUCCAGUUUGUUGAUCUGCAAAAUGGAGAGAUGUGAGAAUCAGAAGAGAACACGUAAUGAAAGGGUGUUAUAAACUGCUAAGGGCUGUACAAAUGUUUGUAUUGCAUUUUUGUCUUCCAGACUAGUGUUUACCUACACUUGCCUGUGUGGAAAUCAGAAGAUUAAAGGAAUGCGAUGUGAUCUUUUUGUAAUUUCCCCACUUGGGUCAAGGGAAAAGCUGGUCAAGAGUAAACCAUUAAUUCAUCCCCCUGCAGGCCCCCCAAUCUUCCCUAGAAUUCUGGGUUAAUGAUUCUGAGGUUGUUUUCCUCACAGAGCCAAUUCAUAUCUAAUCUUUGGCAUGUUCCCCCCUUUAUUAAGAAUAACUUGACUCACCCCAUUAAUUCCUCAUCCUGGGGUCACGAGCCUUGUUUUGCAGAAGGAAAUGGUGGCUGUGUGUAUGUCUUGGGCCUUCUUUCUUUCUCAAACCCCUUUCUUUCAUGGAUUCAUGCCUACAAUUCCCUCUGUGGACAGAAGAGACCUCUCCUUACCUGCAUAAUGAAAUGUGUGACUUUUCUCAAAAGUAGCUUUAGGAAUUAACUGUGGAGGUCCAAGUAGCAAGGAUGCUGUGACCUAACUCGUUACCCCCUCACGUGUGGUUUGGAAUCCCAGCAGAAAAAAUUUCCUGAAGAUCUGGUACGGAGAAACCAUUCUGGGCCUGGCUUUUAAAUGUUUUAUUAGCAGCUGGGCGAGGACUGGGCUGCAAAGAGAUGCAGCCCCCGUCAGAAGCGAUCCCUGUUGGGGAGCAAGGCCUGGAAUUCCAGGAGGGAGGUCUGUUUAUAGCUGAGGCAGAGGCUGGGGAGCGAAGCCUGGGAGCCAGACAUGGCUUAAGGGUGGUCUGGACACUCUUGAGAUAAGGCCAACUAAGGACUAUGAGCUCAUUGAAGUUCCAAAGCCAACUCACAGCAGCUCACCACCAGACAUGUCCCCUGCCCCCACAUUCCCUCCUCUCAAUCCAGGAAUUUUGGUGCUCAUCUCUAUAAAGUUUUAGACCAUGGUGGUAGGAACCUGGUAAGUCUCAGGUUCUUGCAUUGCCCGAUUCUCCUUGGAUUUGCUGGGUUUGCCUCCUUCCCAUGUCUCAGACAGGGCUUUGCAUAAAGAAGUGGGCUGGUAGAUCUGCAAAGGUCCCUCUGUGUGACUGGAGCAAGUUACCCUCUUGAGCCUCAGUGUCCUCUUCUGUAAAAUAGGGAUAUCAUUCUUUCUUUCCCAAGGCUUUUGGUAAUAAUGUCAUUCUCAUGUGAUUCUUAACAAAAUGGGCCUUUCAGACUUAGAUCACUUUUGUGCAUGCAUAAAAAUGAAAGCAUUGAGGAGAAGGAAUUGGUGAAUAUAUGUCUGGAGCAAUAACUUCAUCAGAACUGCCACGGUGGUUGUAGGACCAUUCUGAUUCCAGAGGUAUUAAAAUGCAAAACACAAUGUUGAAAUGCAAAACCCAACAAAAUAAUAAACAGCCUUGUACCUACCGCCUCCCUUAAGAACUAAAACAAUUCCCAACACCACUGAAAGACUGUGUUCACCUCCUUGAUCCAAUCUCUUGCCUUUCCACCCCAGAGAAAACCACUGUCCUGAAUUUUUUCCCACUCCCUUGGUUUUGUUUUACCAAACAUGUAUCCAAUAUGUAACAUAUUAUUUGUAUUUGAUCUUGUUUUUGAAUUGUCCUGUAGGUAGAAUUAUAUCUUAUUCUGCAAUUUGCUUUUUAAAGUUUUUGAAAGAGCAAAACUUAUCUAUGCUAAUACGCUAAUGUGUGUAGCUGCCAUUUAUUUGUCACUGCAUAUACCCCUCUCAAUUCUGUUGAUGGAAAUUUAGGCAGUUUCCAGUAUUAUUUUGCUACAAAC